rnacentral:rRNA from 1 species
AAUGAACGCUGGCGGCGUGCUUUACACAUGCAAGUUGAGCGAGGCCACCCGCAAGGGUGAGUCGAGCGGCGAACGGGUGAGUAACGCGUGGAUGACCUGCCCUUUAGUGGGGAAUAACCCGGGGAAACUCGGGCUAAUACCGCAUAAGACCGAGAGGUGAAAGCGGGGUCGCAAGAUCUCGUGCUAAUGGAGGGGUCCGCGUUCGAUUAGCUAGUUGGUAGGGUAAUGGCCUACCAAGGCGACGANCGAUAGCCGGCCUGAGAGGGUGAUCGGCCACACUGGAACUGAGACACGGUCCAGACUCCUACGGGAGGCAGCAGUGGGGAAUCUUGCGCAAUGGGCGAAAGCCUGACGCAGCGACGCCGCGUGAGGGAUGACGGCCU